ACUCCUACGGGAGGCAGCAGUGGGGAAUAUUGCACAAUGGGCGCAAGCCUGAUGCAGCCAUGCCGCGUGUGUGAAGAAGGCCUUCGGGUUGUAAAGCACUUUCAGUCGUGAGGAAGGUAGUGUAGUUAAUAGCUGCAUUAUUUGACGUUAGCGACAGAAGAAGCACCGGCUAACUCCGUGCCAGCAGCCGCGGUAAUACGGAGGGUGCGAGCGUUAAUCGGAAUUACUGGGCGUAAAGCGCAUGCAGGUGGUUGUUAAGUCAGAUGUGAAAGCCCGGGGCUCAACCUCGGAAUAGCAUUUGAAACUGGCAGACUAGAGUACUGGUAGAGGGGGUAGAAUUUCAGGUGUAGCGGUGAAAUGCGUAGAGAUCUGAAGG
rnacentral:rRNA from 1 species